rnacentral:rRNA from 1 species
UACGGAGGGUGCAAGCGUUGUCCGGAAUCACUGGGCGUAAAGGGCGCGUAGGCGGCUCAUGAAGGCUGUGGUGAAAGUCCGGGGCUCAACCUCGGAUCGGCCGUGGCGACUCGUGGGCUGGAGCACUGUAGAGGCGGGUGGAAUUCCGGGUGUAGCGGUGGAAUGCGUAGAGAUCCGGAAGAACACCAGUGGCGAAGGCGGCCCGCGUGGGCAGUGGCCUGACGCUGAGGCGCGCAGGCGUGGG